UGUGUAGGUGGCUGCGAAAGUCGGAUGUGAAAGCCCUGGGCUCAACUCAGGAAGUGCACCCGAUACUGCGUAGCUAGAGUACCGGAGAGGUUGGUAGAAUUCUCGGUGUAGAGGUGAAAUUCGUAGAUAUCGAGAGGAAUACCUGUGGCGAAGGCGGCCAACUGGACGAGUACUGACACUGAGACACGAAAGCGUGGGGAGCAAACAGGAUUAGAUACCCUGGUAGUCCACGCCGUAAACGAUGGGUGCUAGGUGCUGCAGGCUUUGACUCCUGCGGUGCCGUAGCUAACGCAUUAAGCACCCCGCCUGGGAAGUACGGCCGCAAGGCUAAA
rnacentral:rRNA from 1 species